AAAAAAAAAAAAAAAUGAGAAAAAUUAUUCCAGAGACGAGGAGUAGGGAGCAAGGGAUGUGAGACAGGGAAGGAGGAAAAGCCCAAAAGAGGAUGAGUUACAGGUUUGGCCGUGGCUACAGACAACUUCUCUUCUAUCUCACUGGAACCUUCUGAGCAGCCUUAUGAAUUGUGUCUCAAAAAUGCAUACCUGGAAGACAAAAGAAGGAACUACCUAGCCAUUAAUUCCUGUCAUCUAUUGGCCAAAGAUGGUCUCAACAGCCUUAGCCACCCUCUUACUUCUGGGUUAUAACGUUUGGGUGCCAAGCAGGUUCCCCUAGGUAUACUGCACCUUGUCAUGAGUGAAGACCUGGUACAGGAAGCAAGAGGUAUGUGGUGGAGACCCAGAUAAGACCCUAUGAGAUCACACUCAUGUGAAGCUGGACAAAGACUACAUGGAGCUCAAUAUUACAGCAGUGGCUGCACUUGGAGGUGGGGCUGAGAGGAUGUGAAGUGGUGCGUGAGAGGUAUCAGUACACAUACCAAAGAAUGCUUUAGUAAUAUAGACCCAGAUUGGGAAACAGUUUUCUAGUAACACACCUCUUCUUGUUGCAGAGAUUUCAAUCUGAACCUAUUCUUCUGCUGGUGUUUAUGUUCAGACAUCAGGCAUGUUUGGCAAAUUAAUGGGGCAGACUUGAGAAAAUCUAUUUGUAUGUAUCCAUAUGCAUGAGUUCUUUGCUCUUUUCCUGAAGGAAGGGAAAAUUGAGUUUUAUGUACAAAAGCCUAGAAAGAGCUAUGGGAGAAAUGAAAGGGCCAGAUGGCAGCUAUCCCAUGACAAAGUCUGAACUCUAUGGAAGAAAAGGCUCAGGCAGAAAGAGUAGGAUGUGUGUGUGUGUGUGUGUGUGUUUGAGACGGAGUCUCACUCUGAGCCAAGAUUGCACCAUUGCACUCCAGCCUGGGCAACAGAGCAAAACUCCGCCUCAAAAAAACAAAAACAAACAAACAAAAACAAACAAACAACAAAAAAACAAAAAGUGUUCCCUAACAAGAAAUGAGGGUGCCAUUAGGGAAAUGGAUGCUGGACAUUCAAAUACCCAACACAUAUCCCCUCUACACCCUGUUCUUCCCCAACUCAUUAGAUGUCUUCUCCAUUUGACACGUUACUCAAGUAAAAAACCUGGCAGUGAGCCUGAGUUCCUCACCUCUCCUUGCCUCCACAUCCAAGGUGUCAGCAAACCCCUACAGCUCUGCUUCAGAAAGGUAUCCCAACAGUGUCUAUUUCUGUCUCUUUCACCUCUACCUUCCUCAUCCGCACCAUGACUUUCUCUCAGCUGGAAUUCCAUAAUGGCCUCCGACUGGUUUCUCUGCCUCCCCUUCUGCUCCAUGCAGCAGCUAGCGUGAUCAUCUCAAAAUACAAAACAAGUCCUGUCACCCCUGCUUAAAGCCUUGCAAUG
rnacentral:lncRNA from 1 species